rnacentral:rRNA from 1 species
GACGAACGCUGGCGGCGUGCUUAACACAUGCAAGUCGAGCGGUAAGGCCCUUUCGGGGGUACACGAGCGGCGAACGGGUGAGUAACACGUGGGUGACCUGCCCUCAGCUCUGGGAUAAGCCUGGGAAACCGGGUCUAAUACCGGAUAUGACUCCAUGACGCAUGUUGUGGGGUGGAAAGCCUUGUGCGGCUGAGGAUGGGCCCGCGGCCUAUCAGCUUGUUGGUGGGGUGAUGGCCUACCAAGGCGACGACGGGUAGCCGGCCUGG